rnacentral:rRNA from 1 species
AUUGAACGCUGGCGGCAGGCCUAACACAUGCAAGUCGAACGGUAACAGGGAUCAGCUUGCUGAUUCGCUGACGAGUGGCGGACGGGUGAGUAAUGUCUGGGAAACUGCCUGAUGGAGGGGGAUAACUACUGGAAACGGUAGCUAAUACCGCAUACCGUCGCAAGACCAAAGAGGGGGACCUUCGGGCCUCUUGCCAUCGGAUGUGCCCAGAUGGGAUUAGUUAGUAGGUGGGGUAACGGCUCACCUAGGCGACGAUCCCUAGCUGGUCUGAGAGGAUGACCAGCCACACUGGAACUGAGACACGGUCCAGACUCCUACGGGAGGCAGCAGUGGGGAAUAUUGCACAAUGGGCGCAAGCCUGAUGCAGCCAUGCCGCGUGUAUGAAGAAGGCCUUCGGGUUGUAAAGUACUUUCAGCGGGGAGGAAGGGAGUAAAGUUAAGACCUGUGCUCAUUGACGUUACCCGCAGAAGAAGCACCGGCUAACUCCGU